CGGUGUUCAACUGGCGUGCCCGCGGGACGUCCUGCCGGUGAGCUCAGCCCGCGAGGGCGGCUCAACUUGAAAUCCCAUCGCGGUGCUCUUCAUUGAGUGUCGAGGUGGGCCGGCACGAUUACUUUUGAACAAAUUAGAGUGCUUAAAGCAGGCUAAAAUUUUGCCUGAAUACUGUGUAUAUGGAAUAAUGGAAUAGGACCUCGGUUCUAUUUUGUUGGUUUUCGGAACCCCGAGGUAAUGAUUAAUAGGAACGGAUGGGGGCAUUCGUAUUGCGACGUUAGAGGUGAAAUUCUUGGAUCGUCGCAAGACGGACUAAAGCGAAAGCAUUUGCCAAAAACGCUUUCAUUGAUCAAGAACGAAAGUUAGAGGUUCGAAGGCGAUCAGAUACCGCCCUAGUUCUAACCAUAAACUAUGCCAGCUAGCGAUCCGCCGACGUCCCUCUGAUGACUCGGCGGGGCAGCUUCCGGGAAACCAAAGCUUUUGGGUUCCGGGGGAAGUAUGGUUGCAAAGCUGAAACUUAAAGGAAUUGACGGAAGGGCACCACCAGGAGUGGAGCCUGCGGCUUAAUUUGACUCAACACGGGAAACCUCACCAGGCCCAGACACUGGAAGGAUUGACAGAUUGAGAGCUCUUUCUUGAUUCAGUGGGUGGUGGUGCAUGGCCGUUCUUAGUCGGUGGAGCGAUUUGUCAGGUUAAUUCCGAUAACGGACGAGACUCUGACCUGAUAACUAGACGCACUUGCGGCAUCUCAAAGGUCCGCCGGCGGCUGGCUUUGCGCCCGUCGUCGCGCGCGAUUUUUACUGCCGGCGUACAAUAAAUUCUUCUUAGAGGGACAAGUGG
rnacentral:rRNA from 1 species